UGGACAUUAGAGGGAGUGUGGGACUAAGUGGGACUUAUGCCACUCCCGCCACUGAAUGUUUUUUACCCGCCGAAGGUUUUAAUCCUUCCAUUACAACACUUCGUUUCGUUAUUAUUAUUAUUAAUUGGUAACACUGAAAUAAUUUCUCAUUCGUAAAACGAUAACAAUAAAAUUAAUAACAUAAAGUGUUACGCUUUGGUCCGUUUGUAUUAAGAUACUUACUAUCUUAAUUCGUGGUCUAAAUUUGUUCAAUCCGGACUACGGAUUGAAUCCGUUAAACCUAUUUUACGAUCGGAUUUGCUCCGAAUGAAUUGAUCAAACUUCAGCACUAAUCAUACAGUCUUAUGGAUGCGUUAUACAUACGGAUAAAACCGUGUGCGGUUUACAUGCACAAUUUGAUUUUUAUCGGUUAUUUCAGGCAUAUCUACCUAGUGAUCCAUUAAUGUAUUAUUAACGCGCUGCACUAUAUACUAUCCGCCAUAUAAAUAUUGUUCCACUACUCUCCUCCAAUGGACUUUCUAAUGUAGGUUGCCAUUUUAAAACCAAAAGUAGGUAGAAGUUUUACCCCCAAAAUUAAGGGCGAUAAUAAAUAACAUAAAUAUAAAAUUGUAGAACUGAUUGUUUCUUAAAUAUUCUAGAAAACAAAUUCCAAAAAAAAGUUAAUACUUUCCGAGAUAAUAAGUGAACCCACUUAAAUGGAUCACCUUGUAUAGAACCUAUAUUUUAUAAUAAAAAAUAUACGUACAAUUUAGACUCGGAACAUUAAACUUCAUAGCCGGAUAUAAAAACGAAGUGAUUUUAGAGAAAGAUUUAUUUUCUAAGAAAUAGCCUCGUCAAUUUCACCCCGUCCCUUAUUAUUGUCGGUAAAGAAUAAAGACCAUUCUCGCCAACAUAAACGUUGCUUUUACACGAAGCUAAUAAGACAACCUUGUAGGGUUAGAGACUUCUAGCGUUUGCGUAUCAUUUUUGAAAAAUUAAACAAAUAGCAAGCCAAACAUAAAUAUUGUUCAUCGUAUAAGGAAUCUAAAUUCUAAAUUUCAUUUUGCAUAUUUUAUAGUUUUUACUUUUUAAAGUAUAUUUUUAUUAAACACGUUUUUUUUCUAUUUACAUUGUUCAAAUUCAUACGGAAUCACUGAUGUGCGAUAGCAUAGUUGAAUAGACUAUCGUAAAAUAGUUAAUUUAGUUAACAUUGAGUUUGAUCAAUAACUCUAUGAAUAUU